AAAAAAACUCCAAAUCCAAAGCAGCAAUACCGCUUUAACGUACACAAUAAAAAGAAUUGUAUGUUUUUAAAAUCUUAUUUAUGGGGAUAUAUUAACAGUUUCCAACGAAAAUAUUCAUUUUGUCGGCAAUGGACACCUUAAAUUUACCAAAGAUGGGUAGCAGCACAUACACAAACUGCUGCAGAUAACGAUAUUUCUUGUGAAGUACACACCGACUCAUCAGGCUGUCCCGUUAUUCUCUGAUCGGCAUCCUUUACUAAUAUUCGAGGGAGAUUUACAUAGUUUUAUGUAUACUUACUUUGAUCUCCACGUGUUUUUGUCGAACAAAACUUGUUUGUCUUAAAUGACAAAACUCUAUGGUAUUGUGUUUUGGAACAUUGCAAUCUAAAUGCUCAGCUGGAAAUCACGAGCUAAAAAGGAUUAAGAAAGAAAGAAGAAUCUAUCUCAAGUUUAUGUUACACGAACUUAUGCGCCAGGAUCAUUUUAUCGAGCAGAUGUGUUUUUCACAUUUUUUUCUUUUUGAGUCUGACAAACUUUCAGUGAAAAAAAAAAACUUUACGGCGUCUAGAAAGAACGAAGACAUAAAUAUGUGAGCUUUAUUUCCCGAAGACUUCAACGCAAAUAAUUUCAUCCAAAGAAAAACAAAAAUGAGUUUGUUUAUACAAAAAUUGUGUAUUUUUUCUACAUUAGUGUGUGAUGGGUUGUUACGACAAUGUUGUGGGCAUUUAUUUCAGAAUUACGUGGAUUUAUUAGCAAAAAUGUUGCUGUGCCUUUGCAACCGUUAAAGAUUUUAACAGAUUUCGGUUUCAUGACACUCCCCAGAUGGCCGUCGAGUCGGAAGACUUAACUUCUUAUCUCUAACCGAAUAGAUCCUCAAAUAUACUUCUCUUCACGUUAAUCCACAGCAUUGUCCAUGCAUUUAUAAAAUUAAAAACAAUUUGACUAUAUAAUUUAGUUUAUUAUAAAUUCUUUAAUGCUUAAUAUUCAUUUUAUUAACCAUUAAAAGAAUCCAAAACACUCUUUUUAACUCUUGUACUUAAACCCAUUCAUCAGCAUGUACACUGUACUUAGUCUAUCCGAAAGCAAGAGUGAAGCUUUAGGUUAUUUUCUUAAAGGAAGCAAGCAAUUUAGAUACAUAGUUUGGCCUAAAUUGGAUCAGUAUCUUGAAAUACUUAAUCUCGAUCCUUCAGUAAAUUUUGAUUGAUGAAAAUGAUAAAAAAAAAUUGUUAUCAAAAGGGUUUUUAAAAGAUUGGAAGUGUUUACAGCGUGUUCUUCAUACUGAAUGUUUCAUUUCAAAAUCAAUUUUUAACAAAAUUUCAAAAAGUACUUAAAAUGUUCAAUUAAGCGCUGCUUAGAGUAAUUUUCUCAAAAAUAUGCUACAUAUUCAUAGUUUCUUAUCUUAAAAACUAGCAUUUUAACAUCAAAGCCAAGAUCUGCUGUGAUAAACACUAAUUUAGAAACGUCGUAUAAAAAAAAAAUACCGACGCAUGCAUUUGCUGCUUGCUGUUUUCCCCCUGUUUCUUGAUGUAAAUUUUCAGACAUAUAAGAUCUUGUCUUGUGCGGUUUUAGUGUGGAAUUAAAAAAGAGCAGUUAAAUUGAAGGAGUAACUUUGUAAUUUCUAAUAAUACGUAUCCACUACUGAUAUAAAGUUGCAUUAGUGGUCAGAAUUCUGAUCAUUAAUGAUAUAAUUUAGUCAUUGACAAACUAUAUGACCGUCCAUUAGUGGUACAAUUUCAAAAUCAAUAUGGUCAAAAUUCACAUCCACUAAUGAUACGAUGAUAAUAAUAAUAAUCAUUGUAUUAGUGAAUGAAAUUAAACUAAGUAUUUUGAAAUCACUGGUUCUUUGAUUUCCUUCCACAAAUUGUUUUUCUUUGUUCCAGCUGUCAUGUAUGAAAGAUAAAGACAUUGCUAAUAAACAAGAUCAUAUA
rnacentral:sRNA from 1 species